rnacentral:rRNA from 1 species
UACGGAGGGUGCGAGCGUUGUCCGGAAUCAUUGGGCGUAAAGGGCGCGUAGGUGGCCCGGUCAGCGUGCGGUGAAAGCUCGGGGCUCAACCCCGAGUCGGCCGUGCGAACUGCUGGGCUUGAGCACUGUAGAGGCAGGCGGAAUUCCGGGUGUAGCGGUGGAAUGCGUAGAGAUCCGGAAGAACACCGGUGGCGAAGGCGGCCUGCUGGGCAGUGGCUGACACUGAGGCGCGGAAAGCGUGGGGAGCAAACAGG